CAGCAGGAUGCUUUGUCCCUGCACCUGCCUUUAUCUACACCCACGGUCCAUUCCUCUCCCCUGGUCACUCGGCUCGCUUGCUUUAUCCUCGUCUUCCAUCGGCAGCUUUGCCUCUCACCAGCCUCCAGGCCCUCCAAGAAGGUCUUAUUCAGGAGCUUUGAAUGAUCACCCCAGAUAGUAACACAGGUGAAGGAGAUUGAGCAAGCAGCUGUUGAUGUAGGUGAAACGCUACUACUCGUUUCUUCGUAUAAGAUUAGCAUGUUCUUGAUUUAAUUAGCUAUAUUGCAGAGCAGCACCAAACAAGAAGGGCAGCAGUUUACAUUAUAUGCAACAAUGGAGCAUCCAGAUCUUACAUUCCGACUAUUAGAACAAAUUACAGAUAAAUUCUCUGAGGAGCGAAAACUUGGCCAAGGCGCAUUUGGAACAGUUUACAGGGUAAGAUUGUCAGCAUAUGUAUAAACCCCAGCUUAUUCUCAGUUUAGUGUGUCCUCCAAACUAUACACCUCCUGCACGGCUGCACCCCAUGGUUUGCCCAUAACAGCAUGAUGGUCAAAUACGAACCACCCCCCCCCCCCCCUUCCUAUUUAUGUUGGCGCACCAUGACCAUAUUCAGUUGUACCAAUAUGUCACAGCAAACUACAGAGGAACAGCACUAACUAACAUUUCGUCAGUCAAGUACUUAUGAUAUAUCAUGAAUAGGGGGUACACAAAAAUGGUGAAGAGAUUGCUGUGAAGAUGCUUAGAGAUAAGGACCCAGGACUUGACGACACACGUUUCGAAGAUGAGUUUCAUAAGCUUAGAAUUCUCACUCAUCCAAACAUUGUACGGUUAAUUGGCUACUGUUAUGAAACUCAUCGUGAAUAUAUAGAGCACGAGGGAGUACCGGUACUUGGUGAAAAGAUAUAUAGAGCACUCUGCUUUGAGUAUUUGCACAAUGGGAGCCUUCAAAACCAUCUAUCUGGUAUGCUGAUGCUUCAUCUUUUUUUUUUUACUAGUUUGGCCCACUUCAUAAAACUGGAUUCACUUGUGCAGAUGAAUGGCAUGGAAUUGACUGGCACACACGCUAUAAUAUCAUUAAGGGGACUUGCGAGGGUUUAAAAUACCUUCACAUUGGGUUAAAAAAUCCUAUCUACCAUUUGGAUCUCAAACCUGGGAAUAUAUUGCUUGAUAGAAAUAUGGUGCCAAAACUUGCUGAUUUUGGUUUGUCCAAGAUCUUGGAGCAAACUAGGAGCACUGACGGUAUACAUGGAACACUAGGAUACAUGCCACCGGAAUAUGUGGGCAACAAUAUUCGCUCAACAAAGUUUGACAUAUUCAGCUUAGGUGUUGUAAUCCUGGAGAUAAUAGCAGGGCCUACAGCCCGCACCAGAAUUGGCGACAUUAGUCCCAAAGAAUUUACGGGUCAGGUAAGAAAUCUAUGUUUCUUAAUCUAGAUCAAUGAUCACUAUUAUUAUCAUACUAGUCUAUCAACCCAUGCUCCCGCACGGGCUAAUAAUUUGAGAGACAUAAAUAUUAAAAUUUUAGAUAAAAUAAUUAGGCCUCAUAGCUAAUAAUCAAUUUUUUUAACCAUGAAGUGUUAUUUUAUCUGUUAAAUAUUAUAACACAGUACUUAUAGAAAUAGAUACAAUACACAUACAUAUAUGUACUUAUCUUUUACUUGAAUGUGAUAACUUUAAUUAGUAAUUACAAUUUUUCAUCCACAAUUAUUGUUUUUUUAUUUGCAUUGUGCUUCCAUAUAGAUUUAAUUGAACCCUUAGAUUAACCUAUGUGUUUAAUUAUAGAAAUCGUCAUUCUCAUCAUUUCAUCCAUGCAUAUAUCAUGGUGUACAUGGUGACACACAUCAUGCAUAUAUACCUUAAGUUACUAUUUUUUUAUAUUAACAAUGAUAAAAUUAGGUAAUAUAGAAUCACAUAUAUAUUGGUGUACUUUAGGAUUUUUUAGUAGUGAGGUAAUUUAGAUUCAGAUUUAGGAGUUACUUUAGGCUAUUUUAUUAUAAAAACAUACGUGAUUUGUAUGUAAAUUUAGGGUGCCAUUUUAAGUUAUUUUUUAUAAUGACAUAGGUGGGUAAUUUAAAUAAAGUUUAGGGGGUUAUUUUAGCUUAUUUUCCAUAAUGGUAAAGGUGGGUUAUUUUUUAGAAAACAUAAUAGAUCCAAUGGCUAUGAUGAUUCAAACUACUAGAUUGAUGACCGGAUGUUUCUAAUUUUUAUGAGAAUUUUUAAGAUUUAUCUUUUUUUUAGCGUGCUUUCUGAGGACUAGCGUGGAGGCUAUAAAAGGGGCCUCUAAUUAGUAAUAGAAAGAUAGGUAUAGCCAUAUAGGUGUGGCAUUUUGAUACAUGGAAAAGAUCUAGAGGGUUGGGAAUGGUUGACAGGGGAGAUAGAGCAUUUGGUGGCAGGUGGGCGGCGUCAGGGCCUAUGCCAGCAAGGAAAAUCCUUGCUAUCACCGGUGAGCCUAGGAAGUGGGUACCGAAAAUGUCUGCUUCACAUUCUAGACCGAUUAAAGGAUUCACAUCUGAGUUCACAAUGUAAACCAGACGGAUUCAUGUUGCUUAAAGAUGUAUUAGUUCACAUUGUACAAUAAAAGCUUGCAAAGAAGGCUCAUCUCUCAAAGGACACCAAUUGAUUGUGAAUAUUUGACAAAUCGCAUUACAUAUAAAACGUCUGCAUUCUUUUUCAACACUUCACAAUGAGAUUAGACUAAGGCCAGAUAGAAUGAUUCACGACUAAGUAGUGAUUUUGGAGGGCUUGUGUCCAACAGUCAGAAUGAUAGCCACCUGCAGUACCGCUAUCUUAGAUGUCUUUUUGUCCCAACGUUUUGUAAUGUCCCAUUGGUAUUGAUCCUUCUGCGGUACUGAAGACUUGAUGAAACCUUGAGCUGGCUUGAUAUGUCCAACGGCCUCUACACCUUGGUGUAUAUAGUCCCCUCCAUGGCCUUAGAUCCUAGUAGGAGUAGGUGUCACACGCUAGUACGAUUAGCAAUUCUAAUAACACAUUUGUUUGAGUCCUAAGACGAGUAGGAUUUGAGUCACAUUUACAGUACAAACGGCUUGAUAGCCCUUCUCAUGCCCUUAUCCCAAUCCUACCAUGCUGUAAGUUCAAUAUAUAGUACUUAAAAGCAUCCAACAUCGUGACCAUAGUAUGUUAUAUUUUACAAUUAUAGUGUCACAGUACAGCUUCUGCAUUGUGAUUUUACAGCUACAAGCCAAUUGGAAGAUUAGGUUGCAGAAAGCAUGGAGCGGUUCAUCACUAGAAGCAUAUUGCCAACAGGUAAAUACAUGCAUUGACAUCGCAUUGAAAUGCAUGGAGUCUGACAAGGAUAAAAGGCCAAAUAUAGCAAAUGUCGUUCAACAGCUGGAUGAGAUUGAAAACGAGAUUGGCAAGGUAACUAAUACCAUUAUUUUUUUUUACUAUUUAUAAAGUCAAUAUUAUGGAGGUAUAAUAAUUAUAGGGAUUUUAAGGGACACCAAUCAAGCACACAAUUCAUACAGGUCUGGGCUUCCUGUAGCAAGGAUAAUAUAGCCAUGUGUUAUGUUUGUGAUAGGAUUAUAUUGUAUAUACGGAUUAAAAUGAACUGCUAAGCCAAUAGUCCUUGUGAGAUGUGUUUAUUCUGGCUUCAGAUGAGAGUUGGGAUGGGCUAUCGUCCGUGUGUUGUGCCUCAUCCCACCUUAUAUUUUGUCACGCCAAUGGAGAGGCAUGUUUGUAUAUAUGUGGAGUUCUAGGGUUUCUUCAGAAUUUAAACAUAUCCUUCCCUUAUCUCAUAUAUACUUGUGGAUGUUAAGGAAAUGAACAUACUUAUAGAUCCACAGUUAUGCCUAUGGUGGUAAUAGUAUCCACCAUGCAGGCUAAUAUAAAGAUUAAUGCUCAGUGCAUAUAACGUAUCAGGGAUCCCAAAGACAUGGUUAAAUCAUAAUUUAUCUUUCAUUAUUGCCAUUUUGUUUUGUGUGAAUAUUAUAAAUGCACUUUUGUUAGUAAAGACUGGUGAAUAUUACAACCCUAUAGUUCUCAGGAAAAAAAAAUGUACAGUCAUAUCCUCGCUGUAUACAAAGAGGGGGUGAGCUCGAGUGGCUCCUUGAGCCCCCUCCCACGCCGGCAACCCGGGUUCGAGCCCCGGGGUUGGCACCGUUGCCCCUCCCAGUGAAAAAAAAAGAAAAGAAAAAAAUAUCCUCGCUGUAUUUCCCCCGGCUCAUUAGGGAUGUUAUUCCACAAUAUAAAUGCCUCCAGUGAUUCAAGAGUAAUAAUUAAUUGGCAAUUUUUUUGUUGCCUGAACCUGCUAAUGAUAAUGUGGCCUAUAUAUACGUAGCUUUAGACUUCUGCACUAUAUGUGGAAUAUAAGUUGUCCUAGACUUCUGAGACUUGUAUUAGAAGAGCUAUCAUAUCAUUAACUGAAUGGUAGCGUGAUCAUCAUACUCUCUGAUUGUGGUGAACAUGUCUAAAAUAACAUAGUUAGAAUUGGGCUGAUUAUUAUCUAACAGGAAAUAAAGGUUCAACUAAAAUGUUCAACUAUAUUUUGUUACUAAUUAAAUUUUGCAUUAUGAUCAAUUGCAUUCUUUUUUAUUCUUUUACAUGUGAAACUUAAUGGCAUUCUAAUCUCUUUCUGUUCAUUGCAGAGCGCCCUCCUCAGCGUCCAGUCAGUCGACCUCCAGUUCCAGUUGAACCCAAGCAAUUUGACAAUCUCGUCCUUGCUGCGUCUAACAAACAAUACUGCUGCCCGAGUUGCAUUUAGGCUGCUCACCAUGAAUUCAGAGUAUUUCUUGAGUCCACGUGGUGGUAUGGUACCUCCAAUGUCCAGCUGCGCUCUUGCUGUGACCACCACGUCCGCCCAGAAGGCACCGGAAAACUGCAAUGGGUACUUCACUCUUGAGAGUAUCAUAGCGGUCGAUGAGGGUGUACAGUAUGGAACUUGUGAUGCUGCAGACAGCUAUAACACUUUCUUUACGGAAGCCCAUAACGAUGGCCGUGUAGCCCAACAGGUGAAACUGAUGGCUUUCUACGCUGAACCGCCUGUAGCAGGAAACUCUACAACUGAGGUGGCGAAGGAACCGAAGAACAAUACAUAUCAACAGCUGGAUUUUACCAUGAUGGCAGGCCCUGACUGCAAUGAGCAGGAAUUUUAUGAUAUACGUGAGACCUCUUCAGAUGUUAUAGAAGAACUCAUUGUUGGGAGGACUGAUGAAAAAGAAAAAAUAAUGACUUCUUUAUUACAAGGUGACAGCAUGAGAGAUAGCAUCACCACUGGGGAUCUCCCCCCCGAAGUUGUUCGGAAAAAAAAAGAGAUAGCAUCACCAUCCUUCCUAUACAUGGUAUUGGAGGCAUUGGCAAGACAACAUUUGCAAAAAUGAUUUACAAUGACACAAAAUUCAAAUAUUACUCUCAAGUAUGGGUCUAUGUGUCCCCAAGAUUUGACUCAAAUAAAAUCGGUAACUCCAUAAUUUCACAGCUCACUGAAAAGGAGAGCCAACUAAAUGAGAAACAGUUGAUACGGACACGCCUCAAGAAGCUAUUAGCCGGGAAGAAGAUUUUGAUUGUUUUGGAUGACUUAUGGGAGGAUGAUCCAUAUAAAUUGUUUGAUUUGAAGACUAUGCUAAUGCUUGGUGAGACAGGCAACAUAAUAGUUAUAGUAACAACACGUGAUGAACACGUUGCUAUGGAAAUUGGAACCAUUGAGCCAUACAAGAUAGAACUCCUGACAAAGGAGUUGUGCUGGGAGAUAAUAAAACAAAAAAGUGGUUUUGAAGCUAGAGAUGACAAAGAACAGAUGAAGGAUAUAGGAAUGGAGAUUGCCUCGAAGUGUGGAGGUGUACCUUUAGCUGCUCAAUCUCUUGGAUACACAUUGCGGUCCAAGGAUUUGAAUGAAUGGGAGAAAGUUAAUGAUAGCGAUGUUUGGAAUGAACCUACUUCAAGGAAUGGAUCUUUACAAAAUCAAGUGCUUGCAGCCUUGAGGUUAAGUUAUAGUGGUAUGGAUCACCGCCUAAGGUCAUGCUUUACCUACUGUGCAAUCUUUCCAAAAGGUCACAACAUAAUUAAAGAUGAUCUAAGUCACCAAUGGAUUUCACUGGGGUUCAUCAGGCCAAUGAAAGCACCCUUCAAGAAGCACCAGCUCAGUGAGAAGUACAUUGCCAAGCUCCUGGGAAUGUCUUUCCUUCAACCUUCAAUGUCACCGCCAACUUUGUCGCAGACUUCUGGAGCAUAUUAUGAAGGUAUUACAUUCUUUACCAUGCAUGAUCUGGUGCAUGACUUCGCGAGAUUAAUAUUGGACGAUAAAAUUUUGGAUGCUAGUAAAAAAGGCAGUACUCGGGGAGGCAGCUGCCGCCAUGCAUUGCUCACUGAUUGUAGCAAACCGUUGGGAUUAUUCUUGACUUGUCCUGACAGUCUAAGGGCACUGCGUUUUCUGGACUGCGGUAAUAUUGAAUUACGUGGCGAUACGUUCUCAUCUGCAACGUCCUUGUGCAUCUUGGAUUUAAGUGAAUGCCGCAUAAAUCAGUUGCCAGAUUCUAUUGCCCACUUACAGCAUCUGAAGUAUCUGAACGCGCCAGGUAUUCGUGGUAAAUAUAUCCCGAACCAUAUUACGAGGCUCUUGAAAUUAAACUAUCUAAGCAUUAGUGGGUCUUCUGAAAUAUUAGCAUUGCCCGAGUCGAUUGGAGAAAUGGAGGAACUGGUUCAUCUUGAUUUGUCAGGUUGUUCAAAAAUAAGAAAACUGCCAGAACUGUUUGGCAAUCUUAAAAAUAUGGAACAUCUGGAUCUUUCAAAAUGCUCUGAUGUUACAGGAGUAUCAGAACAGCUGGGUAGCCUCAUGAAACUGGAAUAUUUGGACGUAUCAUACUGCAAAAAUGUUGGAAACUUACCAAGAGCGUUGAGCAGCCUCACAGAACUGCAAUAUUUGAAUUUAUCAUUCAGCUCAUACUUAAUGGGCAUCCAAGAUAGCCUCCUUGGGGACGAAGAAUCAUACAAGUAUCCUGCAGAAAAUAUUUCAAAUCCUGCAGGCGGAUCCGGGAUAGUUGGUAUUGUUGAGGCAGAGAUCUUGGGCACCCUGACCAAGGUCAAAUAUUUGAAGUUAUGUAUAGAUGGAUUUUCUACAUUAUUGCUUCCAAAGCUCCCUGAGGCUUUGGGAAGCUUUAAUGAACUGAAGUAUUUAGACUUAUCAGGUUCUUCUUCACUGUAUAAAUUGCCAUCAUCAUUUGGGAAGCUCCACAGUUUACUACAUAUUGAUUUGUCAGACUGCUAUCGUGUUGAUGGUGUACCGGAAGCCUUGACUGGCCUAAACAAGCUCAGAUAUUUGAAUUUAUCAAAUUGUUCCAUCGGUGUAAAUGAAGAACUGCCGAGUCUAAGAGGGCUACAAGAAGCAAUUGCCAAUCUCACUGAACUACGCUAUUUAAACUUAAAAAGUUGUCUUGAAACUAUAUGUGGUGACCAACGAGUAGACGAAAGCAACGCUUUCCUGGGUCACAUCAGUGCUCUUUCCUAUCUAGAGCACCUGACGCUGUCAAGAAAUGGGAAUCUUUACAGUUUACCCGAAACUUUUGGUAAGCUCAGAAAGCUGCAUAAGCUGGACCUCUCAUAUUGUUGUAACCUCAGGAAGCUGCCAGUAAGUAUAUCUGAAAUCGGCAGUCUGAGGUUUCUGAAUACGGAUGGUUGCCGCAGUUUUGAUGAGUCCACGUUACCUCAGUUCAGAAAUAGUUCUUUCUUAUUACCUCACUUUGUGGUCCUUGCCGAUGAUGGUGAAUCUAGCAGCAAUAUUAUUAAGCUCAAGGAUGAAAAUCCUCCUAUCUUGGAGAUAAGCAGGCUUGAAAGAGUCAAGUCUUCUGCAGAGGCACAGAGGAUAAAUUUGUCGGGAAAACAAAGUAUUGGAAAAAUAAAAUUUGUAUGGACAAAAGGUGCUGAGAGAUUCGUAGAGGACAUUGAAGUUUUGAAAGAACUGAUGCCACCAGCCUGUUUAGAAUACUUCGAGCUACAAGGUUACAAUGGCAUAAGGUUUCCACCCUGGGUGACGAGCAUUGAGAGUUAUUUACCUCGUAUCAUCAGGAUUUCCAUUACGGAGUUGCCCAGCUGCACGACCUUACCACCACUCGGUCAAUUAGCAAACCUUCAAGAGCUGCAUAUCGAGCAAAUGGACAGCAUUACCAAGAUUGAUGGGGAAUUGUACGGCUGCGGGGGAGCUUUUCCCAAACUGACAACCUUUCGUUUACUAAGAAUGGAAAAUCUGGAAGAGUGGAACACAGAACACCCCUGUGGUGAGGAUGGUUCACAUGUGCUCGUGUUCCCUAUAUUAACCCUUUUGGCAAUAAGUGGCUGCCCCAAGCUGAGGAUUAAACCGUGCCUGCCUAGAGGUGAGUACUUCUUGGACAUAAGGAGUUGUGAUGACCUGCUAUCACCAUUGGAAGAGAGAUACCAGGUACCUGAAUCCUCCUACCCUGCUCCGAAAGGCCUUUUUGUGCAUUACUGCGAGCAGCCUCUGCAUGAGUGGAGGUUGCUCCACCAACUCCCUGGGAUCAGUUACUUGAGCAUCGAGCAUUGCAGUGACCUCACAUGCAGCUCAACAGAGAUCAUUCGAUGUCUCUCCUCCCUCGAGACUUUAUCUGUGACAGAUUGCGAAAGCAUUACAGCGCUGCCAGACUGGUUGGGAGACCUAACCAGUCUCAUGAGACUUGAGAUAAUCAAUUGCACUGGCAUCCAAACAUUGCCAGAGAGCAUAGAGCGACUCACCAACCUCCAAGAGCUAAAAGUUUCAGGCUGCCCUGACCUAGUGCAGUGGUGUGAAUCAGAGAAAUCUAUGACGAUGCUAUCUCACAUCAAGACUAAGGAAACUAGAAAACGCAAGCUUACCUACAGUUUAGAAUCCUAUGGAAAGGCCAAGGAGCAGUAGUAGUUAGUACAACUCUGAACAUCUCCCUUGUUUUUGAAGAUCGGUACUAAUAUACUUCUCCUCCAUUCUUCAGGCAUCUUGUUUGACCGAAAAAUGAGGUUAAAAAGCUUAGUUAACUAUACCAUCGCUAUAUCACCUAGGCAUCUCCACACUUCAAUGGGGAUACCAUCAGGGCCCAUCGCUUUAACUCCUUUCAUCCUCUUCAAAGCCUCCCCGAUCUCUGCUUCCUGAAUUCCCCUCACAAAGCAUCUGUUGGUAUCGUCAAAAGAGUUAUCUAAUUCAAGAAUAGGCCCCUCAUUCUCCCCAUUAAACAACUUGUCGAAGUACUCUCACCAUCAGCCCUUGAUCUCCUCAUCCUUCACUAGAAGUCGAUCUAUCCCAUCCUUGAUGUAUUUGAUUUGGUUGAUGCCCCUUGUCUUCCACUCAUGGAUCCUAGUCAUCCUAUAAAUGUCCUUCUCCCCUUCCUUCGUGCCUAGCCGCUGAUACAGGUCAUCAUACGCCUUACCCUUUGCUACACUCGCAGCUCGCUUUGCAGCCAUUUUCGCUAAUUUAUAGCCCUCGAUGUUGGCUGCACUCCUGUCAAGGUGGAGGCGCUUGAAACAUUCCUUCUUCUCCUUAAUAACCCUUUGCACCUCGUCAUUCCACCACCAGGUGUCUUUCCCUUCCUGUUUGCCUCCCCUACUCACGCCAAACACUUCUGUGGCCACCUUCCAAACACAUAUUGUCAUCUUUAGCCACAUGUUGUCUGCAUAUUCUCCUUCUUCCCAAGGCCCCUCACCUAGUAUCCUCUCCUUAAAUGUUUGCGUCGCUUCCCCUCUAAGCUUCCACCACUUCGUUCUUGCAAUCUUGGCAUAUUUGUUCCAGUGGACACAAACCCAAAAAUGAAAGUCUGCCACCACAAGCUUGUGUUGAGGGACAACAUACUCCCCAGCCUUGAAUUGCAAAAUCCUAAGGUGAUAAUUCGGCCGGAUCAAGCUGAAAAAGGCUAAAGGAAAAAAUGUGAUCAUCGGUGAGGAAAGGUCUAAUAAAAAGAUGCCUCUGUAGACGACCAAUGGAGCUACAUUGAAGACUUCGUCGCUCGGGAGGCAAGGAUCCAAGUGUUCUAAUUCUGGUGGAACCGGUCGAACCGACCUAGCCGGUCGAACUGCCUCUGAGGCCGGUCAGACCACCAUUGCCCAAAAACUGAGGAAUCAAUAGAAGGAACAAGAGCAAAAAUCUUCACCAAGACCACAAAGGCAACCAAAUUCUGGCCAAGCGCAGGGUAAUUAUAUUGUUACACCAUACUCAUUUUUUGGGCCGAUUAUGAUGUGGUCUUGUUCAUAUCCUUAUGUUAAUAUACUUUAUAAAUGGAUUACCAAAACUCUAACUUUGAGACUUGAAAAGUUAGCUGAUAAACUGAUCCUGCAGACCCAAUCUGCCUUCCUUAAAGGGAGAAAUAUCAUGAAUGGAGUUUUGGCACUACAUGAAAUUCUCCAUGAAACUAAAACAAAAAGAGGGACUGGAGUGGUACUUAAGCUGGAUUUUGAAAAAGCUUAUGACAAGGUCAAUUGGAAUUUCCUCUUUGACUGUCUCAAAUUGUGGGGGUUUAGUGAGGUUUGGAUAAGCUGGAUCAGGGCAGUGGUUACUGGGGGUACAGUAUGUGUUAAAAUGAAUAAUGAAGAAGGACCAUACUUUGUAAGUCACAAAGGGGUCUGACAGGGAGACCCCCUGUCCCCAAUACUUUUCAAUUUUGUGGCUGAUUGUUUGGCCAGGAUGGUCAGACAAGCUCAAGUUAAUGGUCUGAUCUAUGGUCUUGCAGAGAAUUUGAUCCCUAAUGGAGUUGCCAUCCUACAAUAUGCUGAUGACACCAUUAUUUGUCUCAAAGAUGACAUUGUAGUUGCUAGAAAUAUGAAGCUCUUGUUAUACUUGUAUGAGGUCAUGUCAGGACUCAAAAUCAACUUUGCUAAAAGUGAAAUCAUCAUGAUUAAUGGUGACAAUGAUAAACACUUUGUUUAUGUAGAUCUUUUUAAUUGUCAAACAGGCAUGUUCCCUAUUAAGUAUCUAGGAGUCCCAGUGAGCCCCGGAAGACUGCAUGUUAAGGACUGGACUCCCUUGAUUGAGAAAAAUGAGAAAAAACUCUCCUCUUGGAAGGGAAGUUCCCUGUCUAUUGCUGGAAGGCUAACCCUGAUAAAUUCUAGCCUUUCCAGCACUUUCAUAUACCACAUGUCUAUGUAUCAACUUCCCAAGACCAUAACAGAGAACUUUUUUCUGGCAAA